rnacentral:rRNA from 1 species
UACAGAGGUGGCAAGCGUUGUUCGGAAUUACUGGGCGUAAAGGGCGCGUAGGCGGUUCGUUAAGUCCCGCGUGAAAGCCCCCGGCUCAACUGGGGAACGGCGCGGGAAACUGUCGGGCUUGAGUUCGGGAGAGGGAAGCGGAAUUCCGGGUGUAGCGGUGAAAUGCGUAGAUAUCCGGAGGAACACCGGUGGCGAAGGCGGCUUCCUGGACCGACACUGACGCUGAGGCGCGAAAGCUAGGGGAGCAAACGGG